rnacentral:rRNA from 1 species
AUUGAACGCUGGCGGCAGGCUUAACACAUGCAAGUCGAGCGAGCGGCGGACGGGUGAGUAAUGUCUGGGAAACUGCCUGAUGGAGGGGGAUAACUACUGGAAACGGUAGCUAAUACCGCAUACCAUCAGAUGUGCCCAGAUGGGAUUAGCUAGUAGGGGGGGUAAUGGCUCACCUAGGCGACGAUCCCUAGCUGGUCUGAGAGGAUGACCAGCCACACUGGAACUGAGACACGGUCAAGACUCCUACGGGAGGCAGAAGUGGGGAAUAUUGCACAUUGGGCGCAGGCCUGAUGCAGCCAUGCGGCGUUGGUGAAGAAGGCCUUCGGGUGGUAAAGCACUUUCGGCGGGGAGGCGUUACUCGCAGAAGAAGCACCGGCUAACUCCGUGCCAGCAGCCGCGGUAAUAC